UGUAAAUGAUGAUUACAGUAUUUGCUGUCUGAUGGAUAAUGUUGACAGUUUUUACCACCAAGAUCUCUGAUACA